AGCAGCCGCGGUAAUUCCAGCUCCAAUAGCGUAUAUUAAAGUUGUUGCAGUUAAAAAGCUCGUAGUUGAAUUUCGGGAUCAAUUAGUCGGUCGUGCCUCUGGUACGUACUGGUUUUAUUGGUUCCUCCCUUCUGACGAAACAUGAUGUCAUUAAUUUGGUGUCGUGGAGAAUCAGGACUGUUACCUUGAAAAAUUAGAGUGUUUAUAGCAGGCUAACGCUUGAAUACAUUAGCAUGGAAUAAUGAAAUAGGACGUUCGACCCUAUUUUGUUGGUUUCUAGGAUCGACGUAAUGAUUAAUAGGGAUAGUUGGGGGCAUUAGUAUUCAAUUGUCAGAGGUGAAAUUCUUGGAUUUAUUGAAGACUAACUACUGCGAAAGCAUUUGCCAAGGAUGUUUUCAUUAAUCAAGAACGAAAGUUAGGGGAUCGAAGACGAUCAGAUACCGUCGUAGUCUUAACCAUAAACUAUGCCGACUAGGGAUCGGAUGAUG
rnacentral:rRNA from 1 species